rnacentral:misc_RNA from 1 species
UACGAAGGGGGCUAGCGUUGUUCGGAAUUACUGGGCGUAAAGGGCGCGUAGGCGGACCUGCCAGUCAGGGGUGAAAUCCCGGGGCUCAACCUCGGAAUUGCCUUUGAUACUGCGGGUCUUGAGGACGGGAGAGGGUCGUGGAAUUCCCAGUGUAGAGGUGAAAUUCGUAGAUAUUGGGAAGAACACCGGUGGCGAAGGCGGCGACCUGGACCGUAUCUGACGCUGAGGCGCGAAAGCGUGGGGAGCAAACAGG